rnacentral:misc_RNA from 1 species
UUAACGUUUAUGAAAAAACAGUAUCAGACUGACUGCAAUAGGCAGGGGUGUAUGAAUACCUUCUCUGGCAGACCCCAGGGAAGCAACAGGUAAUAGGUAGACAGAAGAGUUAAGGUAAUACCAAAAAAGCCAACGGACCGACAGCCCGGGGCUUCCGGCUAAUAUACUAAUGAUCCUUCCGCAGGUUCACCUACAGAAA